CUGCAGAGCCUGACAGUGGUGCUCGAUCUUAGGACUGUGAGAUCAUGACCUGAACUGAAAUUAAGAGUUGGAUGCUCAACCGACUGAGGCGCCCUGGGGCCCCUAUCAUUUGACUUAAAAAAUUUGCUAUAAUGAGGUUGUGUAUACUUCAGGUCUAGCUUGUUCCUCUUCUGACUUUUCAUCACCACUAAUCUUAAUUUUAUUUCUUUUCCCAUUCCCGUACAUAAGGAUCCCAUUAAACAGAUAACUGGAAGAUAAUAGGAGGAGAUGAUAAAGUGGUUACUUUCAAUACCGCUUGACCACUUAAGAGUAUUUAACCAGUAACUGCAUGGAAAGCUUCAAGGAGCUUUUUAGAAACAAGAUGCCACCUGCUCAGAGAGCUCUCUUUGACCACAUUGCCCUGUAUUUACUUAGUGACACGGAGGCAUCUGAAGAAGUCCUCAAAGAAGGAACAGCCAAGUCAAAGGACAUACUAUUUUUGCAGCUCUGAAAACCUGUUCGCAAACCGAUUUCUCAGAAGGUAUUGCCAGGUUAUGUUGCUACCUGCCACCAAGAAAACUUACAUACCUUCAUCUUUCUCUUCUGGAGCCAGAUCCGCGACAAUAUCAUCGACGUUAUCAGGUACGAUAUUGCAUUGUUCCCCCUGCAAAAGGAAGUUUUCUUGGAGGGCUCCCAUCAAACAGUGGCACGUGUUGGGGUCAGACGAGGGAGGAGGUAAAAUCGGAUGCCCACCCUGCGUGCAAAUCCCAGGCCACGGUGGAGUUCCGAGCCAACAUUUACAAUCACACUGAAAGAGAAAUGGCAAGAAAGCCACAGCUUCCCAGUCCCUGACCCAUGGCAGACGUCAGUAAUCAGUUAUGGAACUCACUAGGAUACCUAUCUGUCUGGACCAAAUCAUUCAGUGGAGCGCAGAACCCCACUGUAAUGUUGAUUUUGCUCAUUUAGAUCUUACGAAUAAUUUGCAUGCUUAGAAACCUCAGGCGGUCCAGGAGUCCUGUGUUUUGGAAUACGCCAGGGACCCCAUGAUUCCUGAGCAGAUAGGGGUACGGUCGGCUCGCGCUCCUGGUGGGAAGGGUCUGUGGCAGGGUGAGCUCUAGCCCCAGUACCUUCCG